GAUGAACGCUGGCGGCGUGCCUAAUACAUGCAAGUAGAACGCUGAAGGAGGGAGCUUGCUUCUUCCGGAUGAGUUGCGAACGGGUGAGUAACGCGUAGGUAACCUGCCUCAUAGCGGGGGAUAACUAUUGGAAACGAUAGCUAAUACCGCAUAACAGUAUUUACCGCAUGGUAGAUGCUUGAAAGGAGCAACUGCUUCACUAUGAGAUGGACCUGCGUUGUAUUAGCUAGUUGGUGGGGUAAAGGCCCACCAAGGCGACGAUACAUAGCCGACCUGAGAGGGUGAUCGGCCACACUGGGACUGAGACACGGCCCAGACUCCUACGGGAGGCAGCAGUAGGGAAUCUUCGGCAAUGGGGGCAACCCUGACCGAGCAACGCCGCGUGAGUGAAGAAGGUUUUCGGAUCGUAAAGCUCUGUUGUAAGAGAA
rnacentral:rRNA from 1 species